rnacentral:rRNA from 1 species
AGCAGCCGCGGUAAUUCCAGCUCCAAUAGCGUAUAUUAAAGUUGUUGCAGUUAAAAAGCUCGUAGUUGAAUUUCGAGACCGGCUUACUGGUCGUGCUUUUGUGCGUACUGGUAUAAUCGGUUUCUCCUUUCUGACGACUUUAAUGCCAUUAAUUUGGUGUUUUAGGGAAUCAGGACUGUUACUUUGAAAAAUUAGAGUGUUUAAAGCAGGCUCACGCUUGAAUACAUUAGCAUGGAAUAACGGAAUAGGACGUUUGAUUCUAUUUUGUUGGUUUCUAGGAUCGACGUAAUGAUUAAUAGGGAUAGUUGGGGGCAUUAGUAUUCAAUUGUCAGAGGUGAAAUUCUUGGAUUUAUUGAAGACCAACGUACUGCGAAAGCAUUUGCCAAGGAUGUUUUCAUUAAUCAAGAACGAAAGUUAGGGAUCGAAGACGAUCAGA